CACACUAAUCAGUGCUCUGUGUCUAGCUAAAGGUUUGUAAACGCACCAGUCAGCACUGUGUAAAAACUCACCAAUCAACAAUCUGUGUCUAACUAAAGGUUUGUAAACGCACCAGUCAGCACUCUGUAAAAAUGCACCAAUCAGCACUCUGU